GUAUUAAUUGACCAUUGGUAGGUCAGUUGCCUUCCACGCAAACGAUUGUGGGUUCAAUUCCCAUAUGAUACA
rnacentral:tRNA from 1 species